GUCCCAAUAUGCAAAUUUAAAUGUGCCAGGACUCAGAUAUGAUUGGCUGGCUGGGAAGCCAUGAAGGUCCCAAUAUGCAAAUUUGAAUGUGCCAGGACUCAGAUAUGAUUGGCUGGCUGGGAAGCCAUGAAUGCCCCAAUAUGCAAAUUUAAAUGUGCCAGGACUCAGAUAUGAUUGGCUGGCUGAGAAGCCAUGAAGGUCCCAAUAUGCAAAUUUGAAUGUGCCAGGACUCAGAUAUGAUUGGCUGGCUGAGAAGCCAUGAAGGUCCCAAUAUGCAAAUUUGAAUGUGCCAGGACUGAGAUAUGAUUGGCUGGCUGGGAAGCCGUCCAGGUCCUGAUAUGUAAAUUUGAAUAUUAGGACUGACUCCCUGGGGACCUGGCAGAAAUAUAUAGAAAUACAAUGAUU
ensembl:lncRNA